ACUACCGUACUCCGAAUGCAUCNCAGAUUAUUNGUUUGAUCAUGGCUCAGAUUGAACGCUAGCGGGAUGCCUUACACAUGCAAGUCGAACGGCAGCACGGACUUCGGUCUGGUGGCGAAGUGGCGAACGGGUGAGUAAUGUAUCGGAGCGUGCCCAGUAGCGGGGGAUAACUACGCGAAAUGCCGUAGCUAAUUACCGCAUACGCCCUUACUGGGGUGCAAAGCCAGGGUGAUCUGCUAAAGACCUUGCACUAUUGGAGCUGGCCUGAUAUCGGAUUACGCUAGUUGUGUGGGUGUAACUGUGCUCACCAAAAGGCA
rnacentral:rRNA from 1 species